rnacentral:rRNA from 1 species
CAGUCGCCGCGGUAAUACGUAGGUGGCAAGCGUUGUCCGGAUUUAUUGGGCGUAAAGCGAGCGCAGGCGGUUCCUUAAGUCUGAUGUGAAAGCCCCCGGCUCAACCGGGGAGGGUCAUUGGAAACUGGGGAACUUGAGUGCAGAAGAGGAGAGUGGAAUUCCAUGUGUAGCGGUGAAAUGCGUAGAUAUAUGGAGGAACACCAGUGGCGAAGGCGACUCUCUGGUCUGUAACUGACGCUGAGGCUCGAAAGCGUGGGUAGCAAACAGGAUUAGAUACCCCGGUAGUCCCUGUCUCUUAUAC